rnacentral:rRNA from 1 species
AUUGAACGCUGGCGGCACGCCUAACACAUGCAAGUCGAGCGGCAGCGAUGUUAGUAGCAAUACUAACAGUCGGCGAGCGGCGGACGGGUGAGUAAAACGUAGGAACCUGCCUUGAAGAGAGGGACAACCAAGGGAAACUUUGGCUAAUACCGCAUAAACUCGGAAGAGGAAAGCUGCCCUGCAAGGGGUGGUGCUUUAAGAGGGGCCUGCGUCCGAUUAGCUAGUUGGUGAGGUAAGAGCUCACCAAGGCGAUGAUCGGUAACUGGUCUGAGAGGACGACCAGUCACACUGGGACUGAGACUCGGCCCAGACUCCUACGGGAGGCAGCAGUGGGGAAUAUUGGACAAUGGGGGCAACCCUGAUCCAGCGAUGCCGCGUGGGUGAAGAAGGCCUUCGGGUUGUAAAGCCCUUUAGGUUGGGAAGAAGUGCAUUAUUUUAAGAGAUAGAUGCAUUGACGGUACUAACAGAAUAAGCACCGGCAAACUCUGUGCCAGCCGCCGCGGUAAAAC